GACGUAGGAGGCGAGCGUUUAUCCGGAUUCACUGGGCGUAAAGCGCAUGUAGGCGGUUGCACAAGUCCGUUGUUAAAGCCCCUGGCUCAACUGGGGGAGGUCAAUGGAGACUGUGCGACUUGAGGGCAAUAGAGGCACGUGGAACUCCCGGUGUAGCGGUGGAAUGCGUAGAGAUCGGGAAGAACACCAGUGGCGAAGGCGACUACCUGGCCUGUUCUUGACGCUGAGGCGGCGAAAGCUAGGGGAGCAAACGGGG
rnacentral:rRNA from 1 species